rnacentral:rRNA from 1 species
GACGAAGGGGGCUAGCGUUGUUCGGAAUUACUGGGCGUAAAGCGCGUGUAGGCGGUUAUCCAAGUCAGGUGUGAAAGCCUUGAGCUCAACUCAAGAAAUGCACUUGGUACUGGGUGACUAGAGGACCGGAGAGGAUAGUGGAAUUCCCAGUGUAGUGGUGAAAUACGUAGAGAUUGGGAAGAACACCAGUGGCGAAGGCGGCUAUCUGGACGGUUUCUGACGCUAAGACGCGAAGGCGUGGGGAGCAAACAGG